CACACGACUCUCGGCAACGGAUAUCUCGGCUCUCGCAUCGAUGAAGAACGUAGCAAAAUGCGAUACUUGGUGUGAAUUGCAGAAUCCCGUGAACCAUCGAGUUUUUGAACGCAAGUUGCGCCCGAGGCCUUCUGGUUGAGGGCACGUCUGCCUGGGCGUCACGC
rnacentral:rRNA from 1 species